CUCCCUGUGGCUCAGUUGGUAGAGCAUGGUGUUUGCAACGCCAGGGUUGUGGGUUCGAUUCCCACGGGGGGC
rfam:Salmo salar isolate Sally breed double haploid chromosome ssa02, whole genome shotgun sequence.